rnacentral:misc_RNA from 1 species
UUUUCCACCAAUAAGUCCAAAUUACAGGACAAGUCAAACUUGAUCACCUGCUACAAUUUAGUGAUAUAAUGGAUGACCAUGUGUUGUUUGGAUACUUGUAGUUGCAGAUUUGAGCUCCAUAAAAAACCCAACAAUUUGAGGCUUUGCAUAAAACUGUUCAUAGAUUGCUAAAGCUUCUUAAAAUCCAAUUACUUGUGCAAAGGAAAGAAAGAAAGUAUGGCUCUGGGAGAGAUAUUUCUUGCAACUUUCCUUGAGGUGUUAUUUGACAGAUUGGCGUCUGUCGAACUGUUGAAAUUUGCCCGCAUAGGUGGAAUUAAGAAGAAACUGCAGAAGUGGCUCCAAAUGCUGUUAGCAAUUCAAGCAGUGCUUGAGGAUGCAGAGGAGAAGCAACUAACUGAUAAAGCUGUCAAACUGUGGUUAGAUAAUCUCAGGGACUUGGCCUAUGAUGUGGAGGAUAUGCUAGAUGAGUUUGCAGUUGAAGCUAUGAGAUGCAUAUUGAAGGUAUCAGGUGAGGCGAGUACAAAUCAGGUACAGAAACUUGUCUCUGCUUGUUGUACCACUUACAGUGCAAAGGCUGUCAAGUUUAGUCUUAGAAUCAGAUCCAAGAUGGAGAGUAUAACUGGAAGACUAGCUGAUAUUUCAAAACAAAAGAUCCGACUUGGUUUAGCAAAAAUCCCAGUAGGGCAAUCUUCUAAUAUAUGGCAGAGACUACCUAGUACAUCUGUGCCAACAGAAACUCAAGUUUAUGGCAGGGACAAAGACAAAGAGAAGAUGCUCGAUUUGUUGUUAAGGGAUGAAUCAAGUGAUGUCAAUUUUCAAGUUGUUUCUAUAGUUGGUAUGGGUGGGGUGGGAAAAACAACACUUGUUCAGCUUCUAUACAAUGAUGAUGCAGUAGGACACUUUAAUCCAAAAGCUUGGGUUUGUGUAUCCGAGGAGUUUGAUGUUUUGAGGAUAACCAGGACAAUUCUUGAGUCAGUCACUUCGUUGCCUUGCGAUCUAAAGGACUUCAAUCAAAUUCAAGUUAGACUGAAAGACGCUUUAGCUGGGAGAAAAUUUUUGAUCGUUUUAGAUGAUGUUUGGAACAAGAACUAUGGUGAGUGGAAUAGGCUGCAGCCACCAUUUCGAGCUGGAGCACCCGGAAGUAAAAUAAUUGUAACAACACGGGACAGCAAUGUUGCUUUACUAAUGGGAGCCACUAAAUUUCACUACUUGGAGCAAAUGUCAAAUGAUGAUUGUUGGUCAGUAUUUGCGCAGCAUGCAUUUGAGAAUAAAGACCUUGCUGCACAACCAAAUCUGGAAAUAAUUGGCAGAAAAAUUGUUAAGAAGUGUAAAGGAUUGCCUUUGGCAGCAAGAACUCUUGGAGGCCUGUUCUGAGGUUGAGCUACUACCAUCUCCCUUCUCACUUGAAGAGGUGCUUUUCCUUCUGUUCAGUUCUCCCAAAGGACUAUGAAUUUGAACAGAAGGAGCUGGUCUUGUUAUGGAUGGCAGAAGGUUUGGUUCAACAACCUGAAGAAAAUAAGCAAAAAGAAGACAUAGGUGGCGAAUACUUCUGUGAGCUAUUGUCAAGAUCAUUAUUUCAACGAUCAAGUAGGGAUCAAUCAAAAUUUGUGAUGCAUGACCUCAUCAGUGAUCUAGCUCAAUGGGUUGCAGGAGACAUAUGCUUUAUGCUGGAGGAUAAAGUGGAUGGUAGCAAGAUGAAAAUUUCCCCAAAGGCUCGCUAUUCAUCUUACAUUUGUGGCCAAUAUGAUGACUUAAAAAAAUUUGAGGCCUUCUCUGAUGCCAAAGGUUUGAGAACCUUCUUGCCAUUUUUGUCGCCUUAUCCUGGAAAAUGCUAUCUCACCAACUAUGUUCCUUCUGAUUUGUUGCCAA